UGAGGAAUAUUGGUCAAUGGGCGCAAGCCUGAACCAGCCAUCCCGCGUGCAGGAAGACGGCCCUAUGGGUUGUAAACUGCUUUUCCAGGGAGAGAAACUUGCGUACGCGUUGCGCAAUUGACGGUACCCUGGGAAUAAGCAUCGGCUAACUCCGUGCCAGCAGCCGCGGUAAUACGGAGGAUGCGAGCGUUAUCCGGAUUCAUUGGGUUUAAAGGGUGCGUAGGCGGACUAUUAAGUCAGUGGUGAAAUCCUGCAGCUUAACUGCAGAACUGCCAUUGAUACUGAUAGCCUUGAGUUUGGUUAAGGUAGGCGGAAUGUGUAAGGUAGCGGUGAAAUGCGUAGAUAUUACACAGAACACCAAUUGCGUAGGCAGCUUACUGAGCCGACACUGACGCUGAGGCUCGAAAGCGUGGGGAGCAAACA
rnacentral:rRNA from 1 species